rnacentral:rRNA from 1 species
AUAUUGGACAAUGGGCGAAAGCCUGAUCCAGCAAUGCCGCGUGAGUGAUGAAGGCCCUAGGGUUGUAAAGCUCUUUUACCCGGGAUGAUAAUGACAGUACCGGGAGAAUAAGCCCCGGCUAACUCCGUGCCAGCAGCCGCGGUAAUACGGAGGGGGCUAGCGUUGUUCGGAAUUACUGGGCGUAAAGCGCGCGUAGGCGGUUUUUCAAGUCAGGGGUGAAAGCCCGGAGCUCAACUCCGGAAUUGCCCUUGAAACUGGAUGAAUUGAGUCUUGGAGAGGUCAGUGGAAUUCCGAGUGUAGAGGUGAAAUUCGUAGAUAUUCGGAAGAACACCAGUGGCGAAGGCGACUGACUGGACAAGUACUGACGCUGAGGUGCGAAAGCGUGGGGAGCAAACAGG